UGAUCCAGGGAGGUAGUGACAAGAAAUAACAACCUAGUCGCAAGACAGUGGAUUGUAAUGAGUGCAAUUUAAAACACUGCACGAGGAACAAUUGGAGGGCAAGUCUGGUGCCAGCAGCCGCGGUAAUUCCAGCUCCAAUAGCGUAUAUUAAAGUUGUUGCAGUUAAAAAGCUCGUAGUUGAAUUUCUAGUCAGUUAAUUUGGAGGUCUCCUUCACUUUAGCUGGCUAUUCGACACUGAACCAUGUCGGUUAUUAAGUUAACCCCAUGGAGAAUUGUCAUUUUACUUUGAAAAAAUUAGAGUGUUUCAGGCAGGCAAUUGCCCGGAUAUCUUAGCAUGGAAUAAUGGAAUAGGACUUUGGUUCAUUUUAUUGGUUAUUGAAUCAGAGUAAUGAUUAAUAGGGACAGUUGGGGGCAUCAGUAUUCAAUCGUCAGAGGUGAAAUUCUUGGAUUGAUUGAAGACUAACUACUGCGAAAGCAUUUGCCAAGGAUGUUUUCAUUAAUCAGUGAACGAAAGUUAGGGGAUCGAAGACGAUCAGAUACCGUCGUAGUCUUAACCAUAAACUAUGCCGACUAGGGAUCGGACGGUGUUAGUAUUUUGACCCGUUCGGCACCUUACGAGAAAUCAAAGUUUUUGGGUUCUGGGGGGAGUAUGGUCGCAAGGCUGAAACUUAAAGAAAUUGACGGAAGGGCACCACCAGGCGUGGAGCCUG
rnacentral:rRNA from 1 species